rnacentral:rRNA from 1 species
UUGGAGGGCAAGUCUGGUGCCAGCAGCCGCGGUAAUUCCAGCUCCAAUAGCGUAUAUUAAAGUUGUUGCAGUUAAAAAGCUCGUAGUUGAAUUUCGGAAUCAGUAUGUUGGUCGUGCUUCGGUACGUACUGUCAUUACUGGUUUCUACCUUCUGAAGAACCUUGAUGUCAUUAAUUUGGUGUCUUGGGGAAUCAGGACUGUUACUUUGAAAAAAUUAGAGUGUUUAAAGCAAGCAUACACUUGAAUACAUUAGCAUGGAAUAAUGAAAUAGGACGUUUGAUUCUAUUUUGUUGGUUUCUAGGAUCGACGUAAUGAUUAAUAGGGAUAGUUGGGGGCAUUAGUAUUCAAUUGUCAGAGGUGAAAUUCUUGGAUUUAUUGAAGACUAACUACUGCGAAAGCAUUUGCCAAGGAUGUUUUCAUUAAUCAAGAACGAAAGUUAGGGGAUCGAAGACGAUCAGAUACCGUCGUAGUCUUAACCAUAAACUAUGCCGACUAGGGAUCGGAUGAUGUUAUUUUUAAUGACUCAUUCGGCGCCUUACGGGAAAC